GAUGAACGCUGGCGGCGUGCCUAAUACAUGCAAGCCGAGCGAACAGACGAGAGUGCUUGCACUCUCUGACGUUAGCGGCGGACGGGUGAGUAACACGUGGGUAACCUACCUAUAAGACUGGGAUAACUUCGGGAAACCGGAGCUAAUACCGGAUAAUAUUUAGCUUCGCAUGAAGCAGUAGUGAAAGACGGUUCUGCUGUCACUUAUAGAUGGACCCGCGGUGUAUUAGCUAGUUGGUGAGGUAACGGCUCACCAAGGCAACGAUACAUAGCCGACCUGAGAGGGUGAUCGGCCACACUGGGACUGAGACACGGCCCAGACUCCUACGGGAGGCAGCAGUAGGGAAUCUUCCGCAAUGGACGAAAGUCUGACGGAGCAAUGCCGCGUGAGUGAAGAAGGUUUUCGGAUCGUAAAACUCUGUUGUAAGGGAAGAACAAGUACGUUAGUAACUGAACGUACCUUGACGGUACCUUACCAGAAAGCCACGGCUAACUACGUG
rnacentral:rRNA from 1 species